ensembl:processed_transcript
AUUUUUCAUCCGUAGACCCCUUACAGAAUGUUAAAAAGUCACACCUAAAAUAGAAGCACAGCAUUAAACAUUAAAUACACUUUCAUAUAAAAAAUACAGUUAAAAAAGUAAAAAGAAAAGAAAAAAGAGAGAAAAAAAAGAAAAAACACAAGAACAGACUGAUGGCAGCAGAGGACAAAAAGCCAAAGACAACAGUACAAAUGUGUCAAGAAUACAGUACUAAUGCUGACAAUGCUGAUUUGUCAAUAACCAUUUUUAACAUGAGACUGAAAAGAACGAAAAGUGCACGAUCUUCUAAUUGUUGGUGGGAUGGAGUUUCAUUCCCUAGCAGCUCUCACUGAAAAUACAGUUUGACUGAAUUUACUUUUUUUGAGAGGAAUAAUGCAGUCCCCUCUGUCACCUCCUCUAGUAGUUCUGUGAGCGGUCGUUCUAAUAUUUAUAAACUGAUUUAAUGGUGAAGUCGGGUUAUGUAAAGUCUUAAACAUUAAACAGGUAUGU